GAUGAACGCUGGCGGCGUGCCUAAUACAUGCAAGUCGAGCGAACAGACGAGGAGCUUGCUCCUCUGACGUUAGCGGCGGACGGGUGAGUAACACGUGGAUAACCUACCUAUAAGACUGGGAUAACUUCGGGAAACCGGAGCUAAUACCGGAUAAUAUAUUGAACCGCAUGGUUCAAUAGUGAAAGACGGUUUUGCUGUCACUUAUAGAUGGAUCCGCGCCGCCUUAGCUAGUUGGUAAGGUAACGGCUUACCAAGGCAACGAUGCGUAGCCGACCUGAGAGGGUGAUCGGCCACACUGGAACUGAGACACGGUCCAGACUCCUACGGGAGGCAGCAGUAGGGAAUCUUCCGCAAUGGGCGAAAGCCUGACGGAGCAACGCCGCGUGAGUGAUGAAGGUCUUCGGAUCGUAAAACUCUGUUAUUAGGGAAGAACAAAUGUGUAAGUAACUAUGCACGCCUUGACGGUACCUAAUCAGAAAGCCACGGCUAACUACGUG
rnacentral:rRNA from 1 species